rnacentral:rRNA from 1 species
CAGUCGCCGCGGUAACACGUAGGGACCAAGCGUUGUCCGGAAUCAUUGGGCGUAAAGCGCGCGUAGGUGGCCAUUUAAGUCCGCUGUGAAAGUCAAAGGCUCAACCUUUGAAAGCCGGUGGAUACUGGAUGGCUAGAGUACGGAAGAGGCGAGUGGAAUUCCUGGUGUAGCGGUGGAAUGCGCAGAUAUCAGGAGGAACACCAAUAGCGAAGGCAGCUCGCUGGGACGUUACUGACACUAAGGCGCGAAAGCGUGGGGAGCGAACAGGAUUAGAUACCCCUGUAGUCCCUGUCUCUUAUAC